CUGGGGGAGCUGGGGAGGGGCUUGCUUUGGUGACAGCUGCCACUUGGGGAUGGCAGGCUGCACUGCUGCAUGACCACUGCCCCCACGGGGUGUGGCCCGUGCAGAACCCUGGCAUGGUGCCAGCAGGGAGCGCUGGGCUCUGGCCUCCCAUGGGGGUUUUGGUGGACACUGAGAUCAGGUAAUGUCACAGUGAUGCAGCCCCAGCUGCAGUCCCACUGCCAGCCAGCAGCAGAAGGGGACCUGGGACCUCAGAGUGGCCUGGGCAGCCAGUGCCCCAUGAUGUCCUACUGGGAGCACUGGGAAGACCUGUCCUUGCAGGUGGCCAAAGACCUGCUUAGUGGUGUCCUGGGCUCCACUGCAGGCCAGGGUCUCCCCCUCAAGGAACCACCCUUUGUGCUGCUUCCUGGUGGAUAGAUUGCCCCCCACAUCUGGGUGGGUCCCUCUGGGCCUUUUUCACUCCUUCAGGGAGCAGGCGCCUCUACCCAGGAAAGCCUGAGGUGGGCCAGGUCGGGGGUCACCUCUGUGGUGGCCGACCGAGGACUCUGGAUCUGAGACGUGCUCCUGGGGUCUGGAGGUGCGUGUGAAGGCACCACAGAUUGGUCUCCAGGACACAGCUCUGGGGUGCUGCCUGGGCUGAGUGGCACUCACUGGCUGUGUUCAUGCCCCCGGACUUGGGCCCUUCUCUAAAGUCUGUCUGGAAUUGGCCACCAUUGUGACCAGAGGUCUCGCUGGUUCUUACUCCCAGAGGACCUUCCCCAUCCUGGAUGCACUGUGCCUUGGUACAAAUGCAGUCCCAGUGGAAUCUGGACGAGGCACAGGUGAGGUGUAGGUGCAAGGAAGGGCCAGGUCAGGGAGGGCCAGGUGCAGAGGAGGCCCCUGAAAGGAAAGUGACCACAACACUUGGAGCGACCGAGAGAUCUGUAUUGCACCAGUGAGAAAGAGGAGAAGAGAGAGAGAGAGAGAGAGAGAGAGAGAGAGAGAGAGAGAGAGAGAGAGAGAGAAGGUGAGAGGGAGAGAGAGAGGAAAGUGAGAGAAAGAGAUAGGGAAAGUGAGAAAGAAUGAAAUAGAGAGAGAGCAAGAGAGAUUGAAAAGCAAGAGAGAGAGGCCCCAGCAGGAGGGAAUUUUUAUAGCCCAAAUCUCAUGGGGUCUCUGGGUCUGCAAGCUGCCCUGUUGGUGUACAGUGAUCGGAGCAUAUGGUAGUUUCUAAGGGUGUCGUCUUCUACCCUCAGGAAGAUGGGGCAGGGGUCAGAUGUGGGUUUCCUACAUGGUUGGGGGUCAAGUGUACAGCCGCGAGUGGGGUUGAGUGUUCAGACUUGAUGCAAACAGGUGAUAAAGGACCAGCGGGGGGGUGGUGGCGUUGAGUGCCUGGGUUAUCCUGCAGCUAACAUUCCUUCAGCGUACCCUGCAGACAACUUAGUUGUCUGCCCUGCACCUAACAGCCCAGGUCCAGGAGGGGCUCAGGAACAGAGGAGGCCCAUGUGCAGGGGAGGGGCAGGUGCAGAGGAGGCCAGGGUCAAGGGGAGGCCCAGAUGCAGAAGAGACCCAUGUGCAGGGGAGGGGCAGG
rnacentral:lncRNA from 1 species